UACCCGCUGAACUUAAGCAUAUCAAUAAGCGGAGGAAAAGAAACCAACAGGGAUUGCCUCAGUAACGGCGAGUGAAGCGGCAAAAGCUCAGAUUUGAAAUCUGGCGUCAUAUUGGCGUCCGAGUUGUAAUCUGUAGAGGAGUAUUCGAGUGUGGCGCUGGCUUAAGUUCCUUGGAACAGGACGUCAUAGAGGGUGAGAACCCCGUUAACGGCCUUUGUCUUAUGCUCAUGUGAAUCUCCUUCAACGAGUCGAGUUGUUUGGGAAUGCAGCUCUAAAUGGGUGGUAAAUUCCAUCUAAAGCUAAAUACUGGCAAGAGACCGAUAGCGCACAAGUAGAGUGAUCGAAAGAUGAAAAGAACUCUGAACAGAGAGUUAAAUAGUACGUGAAAUUGUUGAAAGGGAAGCACUUGCUACCAGACACGCCUGUAGUUGAUCAACCUUCAUUCUUGAUGGUGCACUCAGCUAUAGGUGGGUCAGCAUCAGUUACGGCGGUGGGAUAAAGACUUGGGGAAUGUGGCUUCUCUCGGGAAGUGUUAUAGCCCUUUGUGUAAUACCACCUGCUGUGACUGAGGACCGCGCUUCGGCGAGGAUGCUGGCAUAAUGGUCGUAAGUGACCCGUCUUGAAACACGGACCAAGGAGUCUAACAUCUAUGCGAGUGUUUGGGUGUCAAAACCCUUACGCGGAAUGAAAGUGAAUGUAGGUGGGAACCGCAAGGUGCACCAUCGACCGAUCCUGAUGUCUUCGGAUGGAUUUGAGUAGGAGCAUAGCUGUUGGGACCCGAAAGAUGGUGAACUAUGCCUGAAUAGGGUGAAGCCAGAGGAAACUCUGGUGGAGGCUCGCAGCGGUUCUGACGUGCAAAUCGAUCGUCAAAUUUGGGUAUAGGGGCGAAAGACUAAUCGAACCAUCUAG
rnacentral:rRNA from 1 species